CCAGAACCAUGACCUCUGUGUCCCUCCUGACAGUCCACCUUCCUGUGCCUGGUCUGUCCCUCACUCCUGCAAAAGACGAGGAGGGAAUUAAAUUCAACUCACAUGGGCCAGUCGAUCAAAUCUGGCAAAGAGCUCGUUGAGCAUCCUGACCAGCUCCUGAGCAGACAAGGUCGUGGAGAGGCCAUUUUGCCACCAGGGAAGGAAUAUGGAACACCACCUAUGAUUCUCUGCAUGGACCG
rnacentral:lncRNA from 1 species